AACGAACGCUGGCGGCAUGCCUAACACAUGCCAGUCGAACGAGACCUUCGGGUCUAGUGGCGCACGGGUGCGUAACGCGUGGGAACCUGCCCUUAGGUUCGGAAUAACUCCCCGAAAGGGGUGCUAAUACCGGAUAAUGUCUUCGGACCAAAGAUUUAUCGCCUUUGGAUGGGCCGGCGUUGGAUUAGCUAGUUGGUAGGGUAAAAGCCUACCAAGGCGACGAUCCAUAGCUGGUCUGAGAGGAUGAUCAGCCACACUGGGACUGAGACACGGCCCAGACUCCUACGGGAGGCAGCAGUGGGGAAUAUUGGACAAUGGGCGAAAGCCUGAUCCAGCAAUGCCGCGUGAGUGAUGAAGGCCGUAGGGUUGUAAAGCUCUUUUACCCGGGAUGAUAAUGACAGUACCGGGAGAAUAAGCUCCGGCUAACUCCGUG
rnacentral:rRNA from 1 species